rnacentral:rRNA from 1 species
UACAGAGGGUGCGAGCGUUGUCCGGAAUCACUGGGCGUAAAGGGCGCGUAGGCGGUGACUUAAGCGUGUGGUGAAAGCUCGGGGCUCAACCCCGAGUCGGCCGUGCGAACUGGGUCACUGGAGCAGAUCAGAGGCAGGCGGAAUUCCGGGUGUAGCGGUGGAAUGCGUAGAGAUCCGGAAGAACACCGGUGGCGAAGGCGGCCUGCUGGGAUCUUGCUGACGCUGAGGCGCGACAGCGUGGGGAGCGAACGGG